GGAUGUAGCUCAGUGGUGGAGCAUGUGCUUGGCAUGUGCGAAGCCCUAGGUUCAAUUCCCAGCACCA
rnacentral:tRNA from 1 species